rnacentral:rRNA from 1 species
GGAAGCCGAUGAAGGACGCGACUAACCGCGAAAGUCUUCGGGGAGCCGUAAGUAGGCUUUGAUCCGGAGGUCUCCGAAUGGGGGAACCCAGCAUGUGCAGACAUGCUAUCCUUAAGUGAAUACAUAGCUUAAGGAGGGAACACGCAGUGAACUGAAACAUCUAAGUAGCUGCAGGAAGAGAAAGAAAUAUCGAUUUCCCAAGUAGCGG